rnacentral:sRNA from 1 species
GCUGGGCAUGGUGGUGCAUGCCUGUAAUCCCAGCAACUCGGGAGACUGAGGUAGGAGGAUCGUGAGCUCAAAGCCAGCCUCAG